ACGGAGAAGAACAACAGGGAUUGCCCUAGUAACGGCGAGCGAAGCGGCAACAGCUCAAAUUUGAAAUCUGGCUCUUUUAGAGUCCGAGAUUGUAAUUUGCAGAGGGCGCUUUGGCUUUGGCAGCGGUCCAAGUUCCUUGGAACAGGACGUCACAGAGGGUGAGAAUCCCGUACGUGGUCGCUGGCUAUUGCCGUGUAAAGCCCCUUCGACGAGUCGAGUUGUUUGGGAAUGCAGCUCUAAAUGGGAGGUACAUUUCUUCUAAAGCUAAAUAUUGGCCAGAGACCGAUAGCGCACAAGUAGAGUGAUCGAAAGAUGAAAAGCACUUUGGAAGGAGAGUCAAACAGCACGUGAAAUUGUUGAAAGGGAAGCGCUUGCAGCCAGACUUGCUUACAGUUGCUCAUCCGGGUUUCUACCCGGUGCACUCUUCUGUAGGCAGGCCAGCAUCAGUUUGGGCGGUAGGAUAAAGGUCUCUGUCACGUACCUCCUUUCGGGGAGGCCUUAUAGGGGAGACGACAUACUACCAGCCUGGACUGAGGUCCGCGCAUCUGCUAGGAUGCUGGCGUAAUGGCUGUAAGCGGCCCGUCUUGAAACACGGACCAAGGAGUCUAACAUCUAUGCGAGUGUUUGGGUGUCAAGCCCGAGCGCGUAAUGAAAGUGAACGGAGGUGGGAACCCGCAAGGGUGCACCAUCGACCGAUCCUGAUGUCUUC
rnacentral:rRNA from 1 species